CGGCCACAUCACGUUGAAACAUCGGUUCCCAUACGAUCACCGAAGUUAAGCAACGUCGAGCCUGGUCUGUAUCAAGAUAGGUAAUCAAUUGGGUAUACCAAAUGCU